AUGAACGCUAGCGGCAGGCUUAACACAUGCAAGUCGAGGGGUAUAGUUCUUCGGAACUAGAGACCGGCGCACGGGUGCGUAACGCGUAUGCAAUCUACCUUUUACAGAGGGAUAGCCCAGAGAAAUUUGGAUUAAUACCUCAUAGCAUAGCAGUCUCGCAUGAGAUCACUAUUAAAGUCACAACGGUAAAAGAUGAGCAUGCGUCCCAUUAGCUAGUUGGUAAGGUAACGGCUUACCAAGGCUACGAUGGGUAGGGGUCCUGAGAGGGAGAUCCCCCACACUGGUACUGAGACACGGACCAGACUCCUACGGGAGGCAGCAGUGAGGAAUAUUGGACAAUGGGCGCAAGCCUGAUCCAGCCAUGCCGCGUGCAGGAUGACGGUCCUAUGGAUUGUAAACUGCUUUUAUACGAGAAGAAACACUCCAACGUGUUGGAGCUUGACGGUAUCGUAAGAAUAAGGAUCGGCUAACUCCGU
rnacentral:rRNA from 1 species